rnacentral:tmRNA from 2 species
GGGGGCGUAUUUGGCUUUGACGACUACCACGGAACCCGAAGUGCAUACCGAGAAUAAACAUACCUCGUAAACUUUGUUUAAAAAUUUAGUUGCAGAUAACUACAACUAUAGAUUGGCAGCUUAAUGUCAACCUGCUAUCAUUUGUGACCUACAACAUUUGAUAGUAGUCAUUUUGUAGGAUAUAUUCAGAUUUCGCCCAGAAUCUGAAAGAAAAUUUUGGGCUUUGGUUUUUGUGUCUUGAUCAUCAGGCUACAAUAUGCCGAGAUUAAUUGAUGAAUCUAAGUAUGUAGAUACGAGGAGAAAGUGAUGACGGACGUGGGUUCGAAUCCCGCCGCCUCCACCA